rnacentral:rRNA from 1 species
GACGAACGCUGGCGGCGUGCUUAACACAUGCAAGUCGAACGGAAAGGCCCUGCUUUUGUGGGGUGCUCGAGUGGCGAACGGGUGAGUAACACGUGAGUAACCUGCCCUUGACUUUGGGAUAACUUCAGGAAACUGGGGCUAAUACCGGAUAGGAGCUCCUGCUGCAUGGUGGGGGUUGGAAAGUUUCGGCGGUUGGGGAUGGACUCGCGGCUUAUCAGCUUGUUGGUGGGGUAGGUGCUUACCAAUGCUUUGACGGGUAGCCGGCCUGAGAGGGUGGCCGGCCACAAUGGGACUGGGAUAGGGCCCAGACUCCUACGGGAGGCAGCAGUGGGAAAUAUUACACAAUGGGCGGAAGCCUGAUGCAGCAACCCCGCGUGCGGGAUGACGGCCUUCGGGUUGUAAAACGCUUUCGCCUGUGACGAAGCGUGAGUGACGGUAAUGGAUAAAGAAGCACCGGCUAACUACGUG